rnacentral:tRNA from 1 species
GUUUAUAUAGUUUAAUAAAAACAUCGGUCUUGUAAAUCGAAAAUAAGAAUAAAUUCUUUUUAAACU